GACGAUGAUGAUGACGUCACAGCUGCUGC
rnacentral:sRNA from 1 species